ensembl:lncRNA
AUGCUCUCGAUGAUGCAGCUGUAGAAGUUGCUGAGGAUCUUAGGAGACAUCCCAAACUUCCUCAGCCUCCUCAGGAAGUACAGCCGCUGUUGAGCCUUCUUGACCAGCUGUGUUGUGUUGAGUGUCCAGAAAGAAAGCAACGGCAGAGCGAAUGAGAAGAGAAGCGACGGAAAAGGGAGACGAAAGGUGGCUGACAACAGAUGUUUUGAAAAAGAUUCGCAGUCAAUAAUCACAUGCACCUGGAGGGACUUGAUUGAUUACAAGGAGCGCUGGCACUGAAGCAACUGGCCAGCAGCGUUUCAGAAUGACAGGAACCGCCCCCCCGUAUCAUCACAGCCACUAUUA